UACGUAGGGUGCAAGCGUUAAUCGGAAUUACUGGGCGUAAAGCGUGCGCAGGCGGCUUUGCAAGACAGAUGUGAAAUCCCCGGGCUUAACCUGGGAACUGCAUUUGUGACUGCAUGGCUAGAGUGCGGCAGAGGGGGAUGGAAUUCCGCGUGUAGCAGUGAAAUGCGUAGAUAUCCGGAGGAACACCGAUGGCGAAGGCAAUCCCCUGGGCCUGCACUGACGCUCAUGCACGAAAGCGUGGGGAGCAAACAGG
rnacentral:rRNA from 1 species